rfam:Ornithorhynchus anatinus chromosome X5, whole genome shotgun sequence.
CCCCUCUCAGGGACGCACCUGGAGAGUUUCCAGUACUCUACCAGUCUUGACUAUGGGAGGGAGAGUCCAGCAGAUGCAUACCCAUUCCAUUCCUAGCUUGGGCUGUGGCUAGCGAGUGGAAGGCAAUCUGCUACAAGU